GGAGUCUGGUCCGUGUCUCAGUACCAGUGUGGGGGACCUUCCUCUCAGAACCCCUACGCAUCGUCGCCUUGGUGGGCCGUUACCCCGCCAACUAGCUAAUGCGCCGCAUGCCCAUCCCCUUCCGACUGAUCUUUCCCCGCAAUAUCAUGCGAUCUCGCGGACUACGGGGCAUUAGGCCAAAUUUCUCUGGGUUAUUCCCCUGAAGGGGGCAGGUUGCAUACGUGUUACUCACCAGUGCGCCGGUCGCCAUCGGGUGGUGUUGCCACCUCCCAUGCUGCCCCUCGACUUGCAUGUGUUAAGCCUGUCGCUAGCGUUCAUC
rnacentral:rRNA from 1 species